UGAGGAAUCUUGCGCAAUGGGGGAAACCCUGACGCAGCAACGCCGCGUGAGUGAGGAAGGUCUUCGGAUCGUAAAGCUCUGUCGGGUGGAAAGAAAUGUAUGGGGUUAAUAGCCUUCAUACUUGACGGUACCACCAAAGGAAGCACCGGCUAACUCCGUGCCAGCAGCCGCGGUAAUACGGGGGGUGCAAGCGUUGUUCGGAAUUAUUGGGCGUAAAGAGCGUGUAGGCGGCUUGGCAAGUCAGAAGUGAAAGCCCUGGGCUUAACCCAGGAAGUGCAUUUGAAACUGCCUAGCUCGAGUAGGGGAGAGGGAAGUGGAAUUCCUGGUGUAGAGGUGAAAUUCGUAGAUAUCAGGAGGAACACCGGUGGCGAAGGCGACUUCCUGGCCCUAUACUGACGCUGAGACGCGAGAGCGUGGGUAGCAAACAG
rnacentral:rRNA from 1 species